UCCCGCCCGCCCGCCCCGCCCCGCCCCGGCCCGCCGGGGCUGGAGCCGGCGCCGCGUCCGGCUCGAGUGGGACGGAGCCCUCGGUUGGCGGCUGCUACCUGGGCCGCCUCCUACCGGGUAGGAGCGCGGAAGGAGGGGCAUUGGGCCUCUCCGCUAGCGAGCUUUGGGGGUUGCGGCGGGUCAGCGACAGGCGCGCAUUGGGCCAGCGCCUGUGCAGCUUUGCUUGGGAAGACUCGAACUGGCGCCGGAAAUUUUACGAAGACGUGAUUUUCAAAGCUAAUUAUGAAAACAUUUGUCGUGGGAAUCAGUGGUGUGACAAAUGGCGGGAAGACAACGCUGGCUAAGAUUUUGCAGAAACACCUCCCAAACUGCAGUAUCGUAUCUCAGGAUGAUUUCUUUAAGCCAGAGUCUGAGAUAGAGAUAGACGCAAAUGGAUUUCUGCAGUAUGACGUGCUUGAAGCGCUCAAUAUGGAAAAAAUGAUGUCCACCAUUUCCUGCUGGAUGGAAAGCCAAGGACAGUCCCUGGCAUCAACAGACUCUGGAAGUGCCGAGGAAAUUCCCAUACUGAUCGUCGAAGGCUUCCUUCUCUUUAAUUAUAAGCCCCUUGACACACUAUGGAACAGAAGCUACUUUCUGACCAUUCCGUAUGAAGAAUGUAAGAGGAGGAGGAGUAUAAAGUUUCCUGUGUGUUUUGAUAGUACGAGAGUCUACGAGCCUCCAGACACCCCAGGGUACUUUGAUGGCCACGUGUGGCCCAUGUAUCUAAAGCACAGACGAGAAAUGGAGAAGAUCACGUGGGAGAUUGUUUACCUAGAUGGAACAAAAUCUGAAGAGGACCUCUUUAAAGAAGUGUAUGAAGAUCUAAUACAAGAACUAGCAAAGCAAAAGGGUUUGCACGUGACAACGUAGAGAUGGAGUGCACUGAACCCUUCGGGGGAUGAAUUAGGAAACUCGAAGGCCUCUAUUUAAGAACCUGCACGAAGAUACAAUAUGUACUUUGAUUUCUUGAUCUGGGGGAAAACCACCCAACGUGUUCUGAGAACAUUCGAGCGGCCCUGUGCAAAAGCCCAGGUGGCAAAAUAGGGCCACCUGCCAAGUGCCACACCAGCUUGCCUGCCACGUAGCUGAGCCACCUCGGAAAUGGGUCUUCCAACACCGGUCAAGCCUUUAGGUGACUGAAGCCCAACCGACAGCUUGAUUUCAACUUCAUCAGAGAUUCUGAGGCAGAACCACCAGCGAAGCCACUCCUAAAAUCCAGAUCCACGGUAACCGAGCAAGACUUCGCUCCUGUGGGAAUUCUCACAUUCUCUGUAUUCUGUUAACCGAAUCACUGAAUCUCUCCAGUUUCCCUUCAUGAAGGAGAAUCCAGCCUCUGAUCUAGUGAGCAGGAAAAGGAACCUGGAGAGGAAAGAUGGCUCCCAUCGCCUGAGUGCUGCUGUCAGUCGGCUCCCCGUCCGUGAGAGGACUCUACCUGAGGCACAGAGAGAGAGCAGGCGGAGGAGAGGCAGAGAAAGAGGGGGAGAGAGAGAAUCCUAAGCAGACUCCUUGCUGUCAGCCUGGAAGCUAAAGCAAGGCUCGAUCUCACAAACCUCAACAUCAUGACCUGAGCCAAAAUCAAGCGUUGGACACUAAAUCGACUGAGCCACCCGGGCAUCCCUGGAUACCAAGGCCCCCAGAGGAUUGGAUAGUGCCCACCUGCACUGAUGAGAAUGCUCUUUUCUCAGUCUACUGACUCAUAUGGUAAUCUCUUUUUGGAGACACGCUGACAGCCACACCCAGAAAUCGUGUUUUAACAGCUAUCUGGGCAUCUCUCAACUCAGUCAAGUUGACACAUAAAAUUAACCAUUACAGGACUGCAAUGUCAGGUAGUGCUAAGUGUUCUGAAGAAAAAAAUGGAUAAAGGAGCUGGGGUGUACGUGAAAAAAAGUAAGAUGUCUUCUAAUAAAAAAUCAAUUGUGCUGUGUUCACCCAAGGAAUACCUUAUGGUGUGAAAACGAACAAACUAUAGCUCUACACACAACGUGGAUAAAACUUUGAAACAUAGUAUUGAGUAAAAGAAGCAAGAAAUGAUGCCACGAGAAAACAAUCAGACUAAAUCCAGAAUAUGGGAUAUUCUGCAGGUCCAACGAUCCAGCUUUCUAAAAAAACAAAAACAAAAACAAAAACAGAACAAAACAGAGCAAAAAAAUGCCAUGAUAACAAGAAAGGAAGAGGGAAAGAAGCAGGGUCUUGAGGAAUAGAAGAGAUACAAGAGUCAUGAUGUUCUGAGUUGUAACAACUAACUACAAAAAGACAUCUUUGAGGCGAUUAGGGAAAUUUGAAUAAGAACUGGGUAUUAGAAGUUAAUAAGAUUGGUUAUUAAUUUUUGUCGAUAGACACAAUAAUGACAUGAUGGUUAUCUUUUCAAAGUUCCUCUCAGACAUGCACACUGAAGUUUGCAUGGGGGAAAAACAAUAUAAUGUCUGGGAACACCCUUGUAAAACAGCAAGAGGAAGUUAGGUAAAACAAGGUUACAAACUUUUGAGAAUUGGUGACAUUGGGUGAAGGAUUGUAAUAAUAUAGUAGAUUGCUUAUGUUAUUGCCUCUACUUUUAUUUUACUUUGAAAAUUUCCAUAAUUCAAGUUUUUAAAAUGAGAAACUUAUUUAAUUUACUUAGAAGCUUCUUCUGGGCUUAUAUGUAAAAAUGUAUCUAGAAUUAAGUAGAAGUCACAGGUUUAUGUGUGAUUCUGAAGACCUUUUGUUUUGAGAUUAUUGUAGAUUCGUAUGCAGUUGCAAGAAAUAAUUCGGAAAGAUUUCGUAUACCCUCGACCCAAUGGCAUUAUCUUGCAUAACCAUAGCACAAUAUCACAGUCUGGAAGUUGACAUUGAUACAACCAAUUGACCUUAUUCAAUUUCACCAGUUUGGUACAUAUCCAUUUAUGUAUAUAUGGCAUAUAUAUUAAUUUCUAUGCAAUUUUACCAAAGCAUAGAUUUUUGUGACCUCUACCACAGUCAAGAUACAGAACAGUUCUAUCACAAGAUUCUUUUGUACUCCCUUUUAUCACAACAGACACCCCUUUUACUCCUACCUCCUCUGACCUCUGGCAGCCACAAAUCUGUUUUCUAGCUCUAUAGUUUUGUCAUUUCAAGACAAAAUAUAUAAAUGGAAUCAUACAGUAUGUGUAACCCUUUGUGAUUUUCUUCCCACUCACCAUAAUUCUUUUGAGAUUCACCUAAGUUAUAUUUUUAAGUCAUUUGUUUUUAAAAUAAUCUCUGCAUCCAUUGUGGGGCUCGAACUCACAACCCCAAGAUCAAGAGUUGCAUGCUCCACUGACUGAGCCAGCCAGGCACCCCUCAUCUGAGUUACCAAGUGUAUAACUAGAUGAUUCCUUUUCUCAUUGCUGAGUAAGGAUCUCAUGGUAUGGAUGUGCUCCACUUUGUUUAACCAUUCAUCUACUAACACUCAUUUGGGUUGUUACUAAAUUUUGGCUUCUACCAUGAGCUUUCGUGUACAUUAGGUUUUUGUGUGAACACAUUUUUUCAUUUCUCUGGGAUGAAUGUCCAAGAGUGCAAUGACUGGAUAGUAUAGUAUGCACAGGUUCAGUUUUGUAAGAAAGUGCUAUACUCUUUCCAACAGUGGCUUUUCUAUUUUCCAUUCCCAUUAGCAAUGUAUGAACAUAUGAGUGUGUGAGCUUUAACUGCUUAACUAAUAGUUCUUCAGAAUAACUGAAGAAAGAAUGAUCUGAUGAAAAUAUUUCUGCCCAAAUGGCCCCAUGGUUUACGAAGAUUUCUAUAGGAGGUACUCGUUGUAAAGAAGUUAGGUCAAGGAAGUCCUAAAAGUGCUUUGAAACAAGGCCAAAAAUGAAUCCUAGAUACAUCUGAAAGGAAGAGAGGAAAUUAACAUUUACAGAGCAGAAAUACCAGGCAUUUCUCAUUCUUUAUCUCAUUUAUUCCUCAGACGACCCUGUAAGAAGGGUACUAUGCUUAUUUUAGAAAUAAUGUAAUCAAGGUCUCAAGUAACUUUUCAAACAGUCACAGUUACCAACCGGCAAAGUGAGACUAAAAAGCCCAGCUUCUAGCUGCCUUUAGCUCAGUGCAGGAAACAUAGGAGGCAAUCAACACAUUUGUUGAGAAGACUGAAUGAAUAGAUGAAUGUCAGUUCUGCUAUUUAUGUACUCCUUGGCAAGACAAUUAAAUUCUCUGAGUCUUUCUUCUUUUGUUGAAGGAAGACAAUAAUAACACCUCCUUCACAGAGUCGUGAACAAAUGAGGUGAUGUGAAAAAAAAGUUGAAAAAUGUUAAAUGUUACAUAAUAUUCUAAAAGUACAGUCAGGGUCAUAACCAAAUACUGAUAAAAUGCAGGCGCAAGAGUUGGGUGGGUGGGUGGGUGUAGUGCCAGUAAGGUACUGUGCCCCAUGGAUUAUUUAAUAUCGAGUUUCCUUAUCUGUGAAAUCACAAGUGAGAUUAAGGUGGAGUGCCUUAAUGACAUAGACCCUAAGAUUCUCACCGAAUAAUGAGACAGAACCAAGCAAACCUCUACAUAGAUUAAUUUGAAAAUGUUUAUUAUCCUUCCCAGGAUGAUGAAAAGUAUGUUGCUGAUUAUCAUUAUCCAUAGCAUUCUGGCCGAUAUCAAUUAGGUCAUUGAGACCUAUAUCAGUGCAUCAAAAUUAUUACAUAGGUAAUUUGGAUAUUUGUAUGUGCAAUGAUAUAUGAAAACAGUAUUGGUUAACAGUUAAUAAUAUGAGAAUAUAUAUAUAACUUCCAAAUACCAGUUUCUAAGAACAAUAUGCACUGGAUAGAAGUGGAAGAAUGGGCAAGAAAUUGAUAUAUUGUGUCUGGGUAGGGGAUAAGAGUGGCUAGAAAGGUAAAGAAGCUUCAUAUUUGUAACUCUUUGUAUUUUCCUUUUGAAUUUUGGAGCAUAUAUUACUGCAUUACUAUUCAACAAAUACUUUAACCUUUUAUAAAAAUCUUGUAUAAAAAUGUAACAUUAAUAUAGACUAACCACAGGACUUUUUAAAGCAUUGCUUUUAAAUUAUUAAAUUCUGAAAAUAUGAAGCCACUUCCUUUUCAAUAUCAUUAUAUGUUUUUACUGAAUUUGUGGUCUCUGGGCAUAUUUAACUCUUCUGAAAAAAGCA